rnacentral:rRNA from 1 species
UACAGAGGGUGCGAGCGUUAAUCGGAAUUACUGGGCGUAAAGCGUGCGUAGACGGUCAUGUAAGUCGGGUGUGAAGGCCCCGGGCUCAACCUGGGAAUUGCAUUCGAGACUGCAUGGCUAGGAUGCGGAAGAGGGAAGCGGAAUUUCCGGUGUAGCGGUGAAAUGCGUAGAUAUCGGAAGGAACACCAGUGGCGAAAGCGGCUUCCUGGUCCAGCAUCGACGUUCAGGCACGAAAGCGUGGGGAGCAAACAGG